AACGAACGCUGGCGGCAUGCCUAACACAUGCAAGUCGAACGAGACCUUCGGGUCUAGUGGCGCACGGGUGCGUAACGCGUGGGAACCUGCCCUUAGGUUCGGAAUACCUCCCCGAAAGGGGGGCUAAUACCGGAUAAUUUCCUCGGACAAAAGAUUUAUCGCCCUUGGAUGGGCCCGAGUUGGUUUAGCUAGUUGGUAGGGUAAAAGCCUACCAAGGCGACGAUCCAUAGCUGGUCUGAGAGGAUGAUCAGCCACACUGGGACUGAGACACGGCCCAGAAUCCUACGGGAGGCAGCAGUGGGGAAUAUUGGACAAUGGGCGGAAGCCUGAUCCAGCAAUGCCGCGUGAGUGAUGAAGGCCUUAGAGUUGUAAAGCUCUUUUACCCGGGAUGAUAAUGACGGUACCGGGAGAAUAAGCACCGGCUAACUCCGUG
rnacentral:rRNA from 1 species